rnacentral:rRNA from 1 species
GGAAGCAGGGGACGUAAGGCCUUGCCUAUUGGAGCGGCCGAUGUCUGAUUAGCUAGUUGGUGGGGUAAAGGCCUACCAAGGCGACGAUCAGUAGUUGGUCUGAGAGGACGACCAGCCACACUGGGACUGAGACACGACCCAGACUCCUACAAGAGGCAGCAAUAAAAAAUUUUGAACAAUGAGCGCAAGCCUGAUCCAGCAAUGCCACGUGAAUGAAGAAGACCUUCGGGUUGUAAAGCUCUUUCAGUCGAGAAGAAAAGACUACGGUGAAUAAUCGUAGUUCAUGACGGUACCGACAGAAGAAGCACCGGCUAACUACGUGCCAGCAACCGCGGUAAUACGUAGGGUGCGAGCGUUAAUCGGAAUUACUGGACGUAAAGGAUGCGCAAGCGGCUUUGUAAGUCAGAUGUGAAAUCCCCGGGCUUAACCUGGGAAUUGCGUUUGAAACUACAAAGCUAGA